CCUACGGGAGGCUGCAGUGGGGAAUAUUGGACAAUGGGGGGAACCCUGAUCCAGCCAUGCCGCGUGUGUGAAGAAGGCCCUCGGGUUGUAAAGCACUUUCAGUGAGGAAGAACGCCUGGUGGUUAAUACCCAUCAGGAAAGACAUCACUCACAGCAGAAGCACCGGCUAACUCCGUGCCAGCAGCCGCGGUAAUACGGAGGGUGCGAGCGUUAAUCGGAAUUACUGGGCGUAAAGCGCGCGUAGGUGGCUUGAUAAGCCGGUUGUGAAAGCCCCGGGCUCAACCUGGGAACGGCAUCCGGAACUGUCAAGCUAGAGUGAAGGAGAGGAAGGUAGAAUUCCCGGUGUAGCGGUGAAAUGCGUAGAGAUCGGGAGGAAUACCAGUGGCGAAGGCGGCCUUCUGGACUGACACUGACACUGAGGUGCGAAAGCGUGGGUAGCAAACAGGAUUAGAUACCCCUGUAGUC
rnacentral:rRNA from 1 species